UGAACGCUAGCGGCAGGCUUAACACAUGCAAGUCGAGGGGUAUAGUAGCAAUACUAGAGACCGGCGCACGGGUGCGUAACGCGUAUGCAACCUACCUUUUACAGAGGGAUAGCCCAGAGAAAUUUGGAUUAAUACCUCAUAGUAUGUGAGAAUGGCAUCAUUUUCACAUUAAAGUCACAACGGCAAAAGAUGAGCAUGCGUCCCAUUAGCUUGUUGGUAAGGUAACGGCUUACCAAGGCAACGAUGGGUAGGGGUCCUGAGAGGGAGAUCCCCCCACACUGGCACUGAGACACGGACCAGACUCCUACGGGAGGCAGCAGUGAGGAAUAUUGGACAAUGGGCGCAAGCCUGAUCCAGCCAUGCCGCGUGCAGGAUGACGGUCCUAUGGAUUGUAAACUGCUUUUGUACAGGAAGAAACACUGGUUCGUGAACCAGCUUGACGGUACUGUAAGAAUAAGGAUCGGCUAACUCCGUG
rnacentral:rRNA from 1 species